rnacentral:rRNA from 1 species
CUACUGGGGUAUCUAAUCCUGUUCGCUACCCACGCUUUCGCUCCUCAGCGUCAGUUACUGCCCAGAGACCCGCCUUCGCCACCGGUGUUCCUCCUGAUAUCUGCGCAUUCCACCGCUACACCAGGAAUUCCAGUCUCCCCUACAGUACUCAAGUCUGCCCGUAUCGCCUGCAGGCCCGAGGUUAAGCCUCGGGUUUUCACAGACGACGUGACAAACCGCCUACGAGCUCUUUACGCCCAGUGAAUCCGGACAACGCUCGCACCCUACGUAUUACCGCGGCUGCUGGCAC